rnacentral:rRNA from 1 species
AUGAGUUGCUUGAGUUGGAACUGUUGAGGGCUUGGGAACCCUUCGACAGUUCGAGAGCUUCGCAGUGUGGUGAAUCAAGAAGGGCCCGGUCCCCUGUUUGUGAUGGAGACAAAAAUUUCUGCUAAAAGGGUGGAAAGUCUGCAUAAUCUAUUUGGGUUUGCAGGAUGCUUUGCGGUGGACAGUACUGGCCUUAGUGGUGGUAUUGGUUUGUUUUGGUCGGAUGAGCUGGAUGUGGAGUUGAAAAACCUAUAG